ACAAUAUAAAAAAUUUAGCAAAACAAGAACAUAAUAACUAUCAAUCUUCUCAUUUCUUAAACAAUAUACAAAAUUUAGAAAAACAGAACACUAAUAACAUAUCAUCUUCUCAUUUCUUGAUAACAAUAUACAAAUUUAGCAACAAGAACACUAAUAACACUUCAAUCUUCUCAUUUUUGAUAACAAUAUACAAAAUUUAGCAAAACAAGAACACUAUCAAUCUUCUCAUUUUUGAUAACAAUAUACAAAAUUUAGCAAAACAAGAACACUAAUAACACUAUCAUCUCUCAUUUCUGAUAACAAUAUACAAAAUUCAGAACAAACAAGAAGCUUCAUUCUUGAUAACAACUAUCAUUCCAACAAGACAUAUCAUUCCAUGUCUGAUAAAUGAAAAUUUCUAAGCAAAUCAAGACACAAUAAACAUCCACUACAUUUGAACAAUUUUACGAACAAGAAAUGAUACACUCUCCAAUUCUCAUUCUGAUAACAAUAUACAAAUUUAGAAAACAAGAACUUAUCAAUCCUCUCAUUUCUUGAUAACAAUAUACAUAAUUUAGCAAAACAAGAACACUAAUAACACUAUCAAUCUUCUCAUUUCUUGAUAACAAUAUACAAAAUUUAGAAAAACAAGAACACUAAUAACACUAUCAAUCUUCACAUUUCUUGAUAACAAUAUACAUAAUUUAGCAAAACAAGAACAAUAAUAACACUCUCAGUCCUCUUUUUUCUUGAUAAUAAUAUACAAAAUUUAACAAAAGAAGAACACUAAUAACACUAUCAAUCUUCUGAUUUCUUGAUAACACUAUACAAAAUUUAGCAAAACAAGAACACUAAUAACACUGUCAAUCUUCUCAUUUCUUGAUAACAAUAUACAAAAUUUAGCAAAACAAGAACACUAUUAAUCUUCUCAUUUUUUGAUAACAAUUUACAAAAUUUAGCAAAACAAGAACACUAAUAACACUAUCCAUCCUCUCAUUUCUUGAUAACAAUAUACAAAAUUCAGCAAAACAAGAACCCUAAUAACACUAUCAAUCUUCUCAUUUCUUGAUAACAAAAUUUAGCACAAACAAGAACACUAAUAAACACUAUCAAUCUUUCUUGAUAACAAUAUACAAAAUUCAGCAAAACAAGAACACUAAUAACACUAUCAAUCUUCUCAUUUCUUGAUAACAAUAUACAAAAUUCAGCAAAACAAGAACACUAAUAACACUAUCAAUCCUGUCAUUUCUUGAUAACAAUAUACAAAAUUUAGCAAACCAAGAACAUUAAUAACAUUAUCAAUCUUCUCAUUUCUUGAUAACAAUAUACAAAAUUUAGCAAAAUAAGAACACUAAUAACACUAUCAAUCUUCUUAUUUCUUGAUAACAAUAUACAAAAUUUAGCAAAGCAAGAACACUAAUAACACUAUCAAUCUUCUCAUUUCUUGAUAACAAAAUAGAAAAUUUAGCAAAACAAGAACACUAAUAACAAUAUCAAUCCUCUCAUUUCUUGAUAACAAUAUACAUAAUUUAGCUAAACAAGAACACUAUCAAUCUUCUCAUUUCUUGAUAACAAUAUACAAAAUUUAGCAAAACAAGAACACUAAUAACACUAUCAAUCCUCUCAUUUCUUAAUAACAAUAUACAAAAUUCAGCAAAACAAGAACCCUAAUAACACUAUCAAUCUUCUCAUUUCUUGAUAACAAUAUACAAAAUUCAGCAAAACAAGAACACUAAUAACACUAUCAAUCCUCUCAUUUCUUGAUAACAAUAUAAAAAGUUUAGCAAACAAGAACACAAUAACACUAUCAAUCUUCUCAUUUCUUAAUACAAAUAUAGAAAAUUUAGCAAAACAAGAACACUAAUAACACUAAUCAAUCUCUCUCUUUCUUAGAUAACAAUAUACACAAAUUUUAGCAAAACAAGAACACUAAUAACAUUAUCAAUCUUCUCAUUUCUGAUAACAAUUAGACAAAUUUAGCAAAACAAGAACACUAUAUAACACUAUCAAUCUUUCUCAUUUCUUGAUAACAAUAUACAAAAUUAUAAAAACAGAAACACUAAUAACACUAUCAAUCUUCUCAUUUCUUGAUAACAAUAUAACAAAAUUUAGCAAAACAAGAACACUAAUAACACUAUCAAUCUUCUCAUUUCUUGAUAAAAAUAGCAAAAUUAGCAAAACAAGACACUAUAACAACUAUCAAUCUUCUCAUUUCUUAAUAACAAUAUACAAAUUUAGCAAAAAGAACACUAAUAACACUAUCAAUCUUUCCAUUUCUUGAUAACAAUAUACAAAAUUGCAAAACAAGAACACUAAUAACACUCAAUUCUUCUCAUUUCUUGAUAACAAUAUACAAAAUUUAGCAAAACAAGAACACUAUCAAUCUUCUCAUUUCUUGAUAACAAUAUACAAAAUUUAGCAAACAAGAAACACUAAUAACACUAUCAUCUCUCAUUUCUUGAUAACAAUAUACAAAAUUCAGCAAAACAAGAACCUAAUAACAUAUCAAUCUUCUCAUUUCUUGAUAACAAUAUACAAAAUUCAGCAAAACAAGAACAUAAUAACUAUCAAUCCUCUCAUUCUUGACAACAAUAUACAAAAUUAAGGCAAAACAAGAACAUUAAUAACAUUAUCAAUCUUCUCAUUUCUUGAUAACAAUAUACAAAAUUUAGCGAAACAAGAACACUAAUAACACUAUCAAUCUUCUCUUUUUUCUUAAUAACAAUAUACAAAAUUUAGCAAAACAAGAACACUAAUAACACUAUCAAUCUUCUCAUUUCUUGAUAACAAUAUACAAAAUUUAGCAAAAACAAGAACACUAAUAAACACAUCAAUCUUCUCAUUUCUUGAUAACAAUAUACAAAAUUUAGCAAAGCAAAGAACACUAAUAACACUAUCAAUCUUCUCAUUCUUGAAUAACAAAAUAGAAAAUUUAGGCAAAACAAGAACACUAAUAACAUCAAUCCUUCAUUUCUUGAUAACAAUAUACAAAUUUAGCAAAACAAACACUAAUAACAUAUCAACCUCAUUUCUUGAUAACAAUAUACAAAAUUUGCAAAACAAGAACACUAUAUUAACACUAUCAAUUUCUCAUUUCUUAAUAACAAUAUACAAAAUUUAGCAAAAAAAACAAAACAUAAUAACACUAUCAAUCUCUCAUUUCUUGAUAACAUAUACAAAAUUUGGCAAAACAAGAACACUAAUAACACUAUCAAUGCUUCUUCAUUUCUUGAUAACAAAUAUACAAAUUUAAAAACAAGAACACUAUAACAACUAUCAAUCUUCUCAUUUCUUGAUAACAAUAUACAAAAUUUAGCAAAACAAGAAACUAAUAACACUAUCAAUCUUCUCAUUUCUUGAUAACAAUAUCAAAAUUUAGCAAAACAAGAACACUAUAAC
rnacentral:lncRNA from 1 species